GUGCAAUUGUGACCUAAUUUUGCGCCUAAUUGGCUAUUUUUUCCUACUGUGUUAGUAUAAAACGGGGUUGCGGUUUAAGCCAAACAUUACAACUCCACUCGUCUUCAAAAAUGUUUAAAAUCCUAAUUUCUUGCCUCUUGUUCGUCGUUGUUUACUCAGCGAUGGAAAUAGACGGCCACCCCGUUGUGGAAGUGGCAACGGGAGACCAGCCGAUGACUCUUUCAGCUGUGGAUUCUUCUCAAGCACAAGCCCCUUCUGCGGUCAGUAAGCGAAUUGGCGGCGUAUUGCUUGAAACACUAACCGGCGGAAAUUAAAAUCUCCAAAUCGCCAAUAAAUAAUACUUCAAAGUAAA